AGGCCUGGAACAAAGGCGCAGACAGCUCCAAGAAAGCCCCCUCCGGACCGGACUCAAUGGGUCCAAAAAAUAGCACAGGCUGCGACCGGACGGGCCAUGCUCCUAACAGCUUACACUCGACUCAAU